CGAGGACGAACGCUGGCGGCGUGCUUAACACAUGCAAGUCGAGCGGAAAGGCCCUUUCGGGGGUACUCGAGCGGCGAACGGGUGAGUAACACGUGAGUAAUCUGCCCUUGGCUUUGGGAUAACUACCGGAAACGGUGGCUAAUACCGAAUACGACCACUCCUUGCAUGAGGUGGUGGUGGAAAGUUUUUUCGGCCAGGGAUGUGCUCGCGGCCUAUCAGCUUGUUGGUGGGGUAAUGGCCUACCAAGGCUUCGACGGGUAGCCGGCCUGAGAGGGUGACCGGCCACACUGGGACUGAGACACGGCCCAGACUCCUACGGGAGGCAGCAGUGGGGAAUAUUGGACAAUGGGCGGAAGCCUGAUCCAGCAACGCCGCGUGAGGGAUGACGGCCUUCGGGUUGUAAACCUCUUUCAGUACCGACGAAGCGCCGAUGAUGGUGGUGACGGUAGGUACAGAAGAAGCACCGGCCAACUACGUG
rnacentral:rRNA from 1 species